UACCCUAACCGUGCAAAGGUAGCAUAAUCAUUUGUCUACUAAUUAUAGACCUGUAUGAAAGGCAAAAUGAGGGUCUAACUGUCUCUUAUAGUAAAUCAAUUAAACUGAUCUCCUAGUAAAAAAGCUAGAAUUUUAACAUAAGACCAGAAGACCCUGUGAAGCUUAAACUAAACUAUUAAAACUAAUAAUAACUACUUUCGGUUGGGGCGACCUUGGAAAAAAAAAGAACUUCCAAACACUAUGAUAUAAUCAUACACAACAGGCCAACAAGCCACCUACGACCCAGCAUAGCUGAAAAUUGAAACAAGUUACUCCAGGGAUAACAGCGCAAUCUUCUUCAAGAGCCCAUAUCAAAAAGAAGGUUUACGACCUCGAUGUUGGAUCAGGACAUCCUAAUGGUGCAGCAGCUAUUAAGGGUUCGUUUGUUCAACGAUUAACAGUCCUACGUGAUCUGA
rnacentral:rRNA from 1 species